AUACGGAGGGAGCUAGCGUUGUUCGGAAUUACUGGGCGUAAAGCGCACGUAGGCGGCUUUGUAAGUUAGAGGUGAAAGCCUGGAGCUUAACUCCAGAACUGCCUUUAAGACUGCAUCGCUUGAAUCCAGGAGAGGUGAGUGGAAUUCCGAGUGUAGAGGUGAAAUUCGUAGAUAUUCGGAAGAACACCAGUGGCGAAGGCGGCUCACUGGACUGGUAUUGACGCUGAGGUGCGAAAGCGUGGGGAGC
rnacentral:rRNA from 1 species